UACAGAGGGGGCAAGCGUUGUUCGGAAUUACUGGGCGUAAAGGGCGCGUAGGCGGCCCGCUAAGUCGAACGUGAAAUCCCCGGGCUCAACCCGGGAACUGCGUCCGAUACUGGCAGGCUUGAAUCCGGGAGAGGGAUGCGGAAUUCCAGGUGUAGCGGUGAAAUGCGUAGAUAUCUGGAGGAAUACCGGUGGCGAAGGCGGCAUCCUGGACCGACAUUGACGCUGAGGAGCGAAAGCUAGGGGAGCAAACGGG
rnacentral:rRNA from 1 species